AUUGAACGCUGGCGGCAGGCCUAACACAUGCAAGUCGAACGCGUGGCGGACGGGUGAGUAAUGUCUGGGAAACUGCCUGAUGGAGGGGGAUAACUACUGGCAACGGUAGCUAAUACCGCAUACCAUCCGAUGUUCCCAGAUGGGAUUAGCUAGUAGGUGGGGUAACGGCUCACCCAGGCGACGAUCCCUACCUGGUCUGAGAGGAUGACCAGCCACACUGGAACUGAGACACGGUCCAGACGCCGACGGGAGGCAGCAGUGGGGAAGAUUGCACAAUGGGCGCAAGCCUGAGGCAGCCAUGCCGCGUGUAUGAAGAAGGCCUUCGGGUUGUAAAGUACUUUCAGCGGGGAGGCGUUACCCGCAGAAGAAGCACCGGCUAACUCCGUGCCAGCAGCCGCGGUAAUUC
rnacentral:rRNA from 1 species